GUGUUCGUCAGAAUGAGAGAUGGUUGGCAUCUCCCCUGACAGGGAUGGGAACAGCUUUUGGGUUACCUGUUAAAACACACACAGUUUGAAAUUCAAAUUGUCCUGAAAUAAAAAAGGAUCACCUUUU